ACCACGGGGCUUCAAAGGGCCGCCCUACAGAUGAUCAGUGUUAAUAGAAAACAAAUGAGUAUACCGGUGCCUGCAAAAAUACAUGAGUAGAUCAGUGCCUGCAAAAAUACAUGAGUAGACCAGUGCCUGCAAAACUACAUGAGUAGAUCAGUGCCUGCAAAAUACAUGAGUAGAUCAGUGCCUGCAAAAAUAAAUGGGUAGACCAGUGCCUGCAAAAAUUAAUGGGUAGAUUGGUACAGCCUGGUAGACCAGUACCUCUGCUAAAUCUGAAAUAAUUAUCACAUGACAAUCAAGCCACGCCCAUAAAAUAAGCCACGCCCACAGAACCGGUAGUAAAAAAAUUUAGAACUCACCCCAGGCGCACACGCAUGUGCAUAUAUUACAAUAUUCUUCCAAAAAAAACCCCCAAAACUGGACAUAACCAAACCAUAUUUGUUAAUAUACUCAUUUUUCUUAUCACACCAUUACAGAAAAUCUAUCAUCCAUCCGUUCUGAUUAUUCUUUAAAGAGUCCAAUAAGUAUAAAAUUCUUUGAUAGAUUAACUUCAGUUUCAACUCCAAAGAAACAAAGAACAUUGUUUUGAAAAACUUGAGAUUCUUUUGUAGUCAUUAUUGGAUGUAGUAACUCUUUAUUCCAUAAAUUAUAUUCAUAAUUUCAACUUUUACAAUAUUUUUCAAUUUUGGAUAUAGUUUCAAAAUUAAUUUAUUUUAGAAACAAACUCAGUCUAAAAUAAGUCUGGCUUCUUUCAGAUAGUUAAAAUGCCUAACCCAUAUUUAAAUCAUUCUUAAAUUAAUUAUCUUGCCAUUUAUAUGUAUUGGGCAGAGAGAAUUAUGUCUCUAGUUAUUGAAAAUCCUCAAACAUCAGUACAAACUGAUUGACAUAAAGUAGCUAUUCAGACUUCUGAUGAGCAACAUGGAAAGCCAGAAGUCCUGCUGAAACAGGACAGUAUUUUAGCAGAAAUCAGUGGCUGGAUACUGGAUCCUAGACAGCAAAAUCUCUCUGCAGAAAGGAGAGAUUGAAAUAGCCCAUGCACCCUCCAGAUGGCCAUUUCUUGUGAAACCUCAAGACAAUGAGGUUUUGCAGUUAUAAGCCAACUGCAAAACCUCAAUUUCUCACAAGGAAUGGACAUCUGGAGUAUGCAUAAGUCAGGUGGCUGGGAGUUGAGCGAUACUAUCUAAGCUCACAAUCAUAACUCGGCCUUUUAUAAACAAAAAGUUUGACCACAGACAUUUCUUAAUCAUUUUUGAAUUAUUAUUAUUGCUUUGGAAAUAUUAAGAACCUUCAGAAUUGCAAGUUUGUAUUGCAUUCAUUGGGUUAGUCUCCUCCUUAGAGAAGUUUUAAACAUGAUAUUAAGGCUCUGGAAAUAUUUCUUUUUUAAUAAAUAGCAAAAGGCUGUUUAGAAUGUUGAUUUUAGAAAGUUAAAAACAGACUAAGGGUUCAGAUGGAUUUGGAAUUUAGAUAUAAAAUUAAUUAUACAAAUCCUUCCUUUAGGAAAGUGUGGUUGUUUGGGUUCUUUAGAAAGAACUAGAAGAAAAUACAAUUAAAGGAGAAUACUUAAAUUUGACUUGUUAACUAAUAAUGGAGCAAAAUAUUUUAACAAUGGAUGUUUCGAAGGCUAUUGUAAUAGAAUGUGUGAAUGAGCUGGUGAAUGCCUAGGAAAAGAAAUGCUGCCUAGGAAGAAAUCAGACAGGAAAUGCAAAAAUCUCCAGUGAUUUAAAAGCCAGAGAAAGAAACUUAGGAAGGACCUGCCAUAAUGGAUGAAGCAGUUAAAAGUGGCAAUGGGAAGUUCAUACUUUCAUAGUUGCAGAUUCUGUUAAUGUAGCCUUAAAGUAGACUUAGUUCAUUUAGUAUGUUUCCUGAUUGGUUUAUUUGGGAGGACUAACAGAUAUUUUUGACCAAUGGACUCAGAAAUUAAUUUUAAGAAUAUGUGAUACAAGACAUGAUGGUAUCCAUCCACAUCAGAUAGAUGGUGUGUUAAUGAAGUUACAGAAAAAGAACAAGCUGAGCUGGGUAAGAUUGAAAUUGAUUGGAAUGUGGAUUUAAAUAUAAGAAUUUUUAAGAAUGAGGUGAAAAAGUGAUAUACUGAAAUGAAAUCAAUUGAUAUUUUAACAUUUAAAGAGGACAUACAAAUAUCAAACCAGCAAUUUAUUUGGAUAAUAUUUUCUUACCAGACCUUCAGAAGAAAUCUUUUAAAGUCUUGAAAUAUUUUCUGAAAAAGGACAAAAAAAUGAGAAUAAAGCAAGUUCUAAGAUGGUAUUUGAAGGGAAUAAAAGUUAUGAUUGUUAAAAGUGCAGGGAAAGAAUUUAGAGUUAUCUUAUUUGAUCAAGAUUAAAAUACAUAUUUACUUAUUUCUGGUAAUCCUUAAGGAACUAACUUUAGGGCCUGGCCUAACUUUCUCCCUCUUUUUAAACAUUUUUAAUAUUUUUUUUUAAAAAAUAGUAUUUUUAAUAGUCAAAAGUUUAAAUUUGUUUUAAAUUGAUUGGGUUUUAAAUUUGUCUGGGCCAAAUUAUUUAAUUUGAUUUUAUCUCUGCUUUUUAAAUUUUGUAUGUAUGUAUUUUAUUGUUGGCUGUUCACCACCCUGAGUCCUUUGGGAGUAGGGCGGUAUAUAAAUCAAAUAAAAAGAAAAAAAAGAAAAGAAACUAGUGCUGGUAAAGAAUGAAGAGUGUUUGGGAUUUUGUUUAUAGUUAAGAAAUGAGACAUGGGAUAAAGAGAGUAUUUGCUGUAUUUUAAGAAAUGGGGAUAAAUUACUAAAAUUGUUUAUACUUGUGAUGAACAUGCUUUUUUCCUUUCUACACUUUUUAUUUUUUCUUAUUAUUCUUAUAUUUAUUUUUUCUCAUUGUAAUUUUUUUCUAAAAAAUAUUACAAGAAAAGGUUUAAGGUAACUUAUUCUAUACUCUGCCCAUACUUUUUCAUAGAACAUUUUCCCUGUUUUAAAAGGAGAGGUUUUCGAUAAAGUUAAAUGUUCAAGAGAUUCAGCAUUAAGAUCGACUCUACAUUACAGUAAAGCCCAAGAUGUCUAGCUUCAUUAAAUCAAUAAAUUAAAGAACUCUGGUCACAUCCAUGAAAUGUCAAGUAUACUACCAAGCUGUACUCAAGCUACAACCGGUCGCUUAAUAACUCCCCAAAGCUACUUAUGACCCAUUUUCAAAGUUACAAAACACACACACCUUGCACUUACAUGAUCACAUUUUGGGUUCUUGCAAUUGGCCUACCUUUAUGGCUAUUUGCUGCAUUCUAUGGUCAUGUGACUGAAAAUUAUAGCCUUUUUUGCGGAUUUCUGGCAUUUACAUCUGGUUUCUGGCAACAAAUGUACAUUGGGGAAAAAUGAUUCAUUUAACAAUUGCAACAUUUGCUUCAUGACCAUGUCUUCUCCUCUCCGCUUCCCAUUUCAUCCUAAUUUAUUCUAGCCACUCUAUGCUCCUGAAAGCUUAGGCUCUUUAAUAAAAUUUGAUAAUUGGAAAAGGUGCUACCAGACUCGUGGGAUAUGUGUGUAUGAUUAUUUUUUUAUGAAGGACAAAGAUAUAUUAUUCUCAAAUCUGGAAAUUUUUUGCGUAUCUGCUUCCAAAAUAAUAUUUCCACCAAGUCAUUCUGUCUUUCUUUUUCUUUCUAACAUUCUAAGAUUUCCUUGUUGUCUUUGACUAUAUUCUUUGCAAUUAACUUUUUUCUUAUACAUUUUAUGCAGUAUUUUUCUCUCAUCCUCAUAUUUUUCAGCAAUCAAAUUUAUAUGCAUGCUUUUUCAUAAUUCCCAGUAGGGUAACUACAUUUUUUUUUUACCAACAAUCAGAAUAGGCCUGGUAUUUUAUUUCAUUAUAAAAGCAUACACUUCUGUGAACCGCAACUAAUCAGAUGCAUAUAAAAUUGCUUAUGCUUUACUGCAAUGGCUUAUGCUUGGUUUACAGUACGGUACCGUAGGCUACCAUUGCAAUCCUCCUACAAUGAUCACUCUGUAACAUAAUUCUCCCUGUUCCAACAUCCUUUUUCUAUAUACCCACUUUCUAUUCUCAUUCUCAUUUCUAUAUACCCACUUUCUAUUCUCAUUCUCAGUUCCCACAUCCUUUUUCUAUAUACCCACUUUCUAUUCUCAUUGUGUUGGGAAAUUAAAUACAGUAUAUUUUAACAUUUUCUCAUAUAGGACCCAUGCAUUUUCAUACUUUUUUCCUGCAGUUAUUCUACUGUGACUUCAUGUGCUUCAUACUCUCUGUUUCCUUUUCUUCUUACCUCUCAUCACUUUUGUAUCCAUCUCUAAGUCUUACAGCUUUUGCUAUAUACAAGGGAAUAAUCCUUUCAGAUCUAUAUUCAUUCCUUUCCCAUGUGUAGGUAAUGGGAACACCAUUCUUGUUCAGUCUUGGAUCUUCAAAUGGCUCAGUCACUUUUUCCAUAUUCUCGUGUCUCAUCUUUUCAUGAGUUACAAACUACAGAAUUCUUUUUUCCAUGGAUCUCAUGCUUUUGAGAAUGUUGCAGUUUUCCCCAAAAUCUCAUGUAUGGUUUCUUCUAUAACUGCCAUUCACUGGAGCAUAACACCAACUCAUAAAUUCCAAUUUUUAUAUUUACCUAUUUUCCCUCAGGGACGCGGUGGUUCAGUGGUUAAGUCACUGAGCUUGUCGAUUGAAAGUUUGGCAGUUCUGCAGUUCGAAUCCCUAAUGCCAUGUAACGGGGUGAGCUCCCGUUCCUUGUCCCAGCUUACUAUCUCACCAGCACUGGCAGAAGAGUUGCAGGCCCUUCAGCCAAGGAAUUUAAAAUGGCAGGGUCCAGGCUGGCUCCUGCCAUUUGGAAGAUUUUACCCCCUGAGGUGAGAUUGGUUUCCAUCCUCCUGACCUUCUGUAGAGCUUGAAAACCUGGCUCUGCCAGAUGGCCUGAGGCCCUAAUGGGAGAGCAUCACAUUUGAGGUGGUUGAUGAAUUAAGAGGCAAACCCACCUCCCCCCUGCACAUCCAGUUCCCUCCCUCCUCAUUUUUUAAUUAUGAUUUUAUCUGCAUUGGGGCAUCUAUUUUUAUUGUUUCAGAGACAUUUAUAUGUUAUGACUUUAAUUUUUUAGGCCGGGUGCCGGCAACCCUCAGCUCCGGAGCGGCAUGCAGCUCUUUUGUCCCCCUGCUGUGGCUCCUUGUCAGCUGAACCCACCACUGGCUGGCCCUGCCCUUUGCCUUCCCCUCCCAGUCACUCCUCGCCUGAUCUGAGAAGGUAAGGGUGAUGGCAGGGAAUAGAGACUCACUCCAUAUUUCAGAGCGGGAGUGAAUUGCUCCUGUAAAUGCCUUAUCUCGCAGGUGCUUCUUCUGGCCCUUAUUGGUGUUGCGCGCACCUUGGUCGCUUGGAGAGACACGCAACUUGCUCUCAGCCCCAAGACACUGGCCCAGCCUGGCUGCAGCCGAUGUUCCACAUCAGACACACACACAGAGAGAUACCUGUUUCCCACAGAAAAGAAAAUACCAGGAGCCACAAAACCUGGGUAGGCGUGGCUAGGGGGGUGUCAUGUAACUGGGUGGGAGUGAGUAACAUCGAGUUGGCCAUGUCCAUCAAGGUUUUGUGGGUCCUGAUGUUUUCUUUUCUGUGGGAAACGGGUCCAAAUGGCUCUUUGAGUGUUUAAGAUUUCAGACCCCUGUUUUAAUCUGAAAGUCACUGUUUGUUAAGAGAGGGAUGGCAAAUAAAUUUAACAAAUAAUAAAUUUAAUAAAUAAAUAACAUACCAGUUCAUUAAGUGACUGUUUGAAGUUACAAUAGUACUCAAAAGAGUUAUUUAUGACCGUUUUUCACAUUUAUGACCGUUGCAGCAUCCUUGGCAGCUUGAUUCAUAUUUAUGACAAUUACAAUGCCCCAGGAAUAUGUGAUCACUUUUUGUGACCUUCUGACAAGCAAAGUCAAUGGGGAAGCCAGUUUCACUUAACAAUUGCACUGAUUCAUUUAACAACUGCAACAAGAAAGAUUGUAAAAGGAGGCAAAACUCACUUAACAAAUAUCUCAUUAGCAACAGAAAUGUUGAGCUCAAUUGUGGUCAGAAGUUGAGGACUAGCUUAUCUUAGAUUUCACAAGGUUGAAGUACAGGGAGUGUACAGUUUUAUUGUUGAAUCAGGUGAUGAAUAUCCUCAAAUAUUCCCUGUUGGUCAAGGAACUUCAGAGCCUUCUCUGUCACAGCAUCUGCCAUCUGGAACAUCAUAACCCCAGAGAAAUAAUAGGUGAAACUUUUGAAUUAGAUCCUAAAAUAUUCCUCCUGGGAAUUCUGAAGACGGAAAUGGGAAAAAAGAAGAAAUACCUAGCAGUGCAUAUAACAACAGCAGCAAGAAUCUCUUUUGCUCAACAAUGGAAAGAGAAAAAAAUACCAACUAAGGAACAAGUAAUCGGUAAAAUAAUGGAAUGUGCCGAGAUGAAUAAGUUAACGUUGGAAAUCAAUGACAGAGAAGAUACUGAUUAUUAUAGCGUGUGGGACAAGUGGUACGGGUGGUUAGAGAAGAGGAAAAUGAAAUAAAAAAAAAUGAAAGAGACCAGAUUGAGUACAAGAAAUAGUUAAAUGAUAUAGUAAGAGAAGAUGUACCGCAGAUUGUAGAAAGUAAAAUGAAGUAAGGAAAAGUUACAUGGGUAAGCAAAAGAUAUGACUUAUGUAUUUAUUAAUUUACCUUUAAAGACCCAUUAUAUAUAUAUACAUUAAGAAUGAUAUAAGUACAUACUUAUAUACCAUGUAAUUGAGUAGCAAAGAUUAUCUAUAUGUACAUACAUCUGUAUUCUUAUUUAUUUCCUUUUCCUAUACUAUGUAACCGGAUGGACAAAAACUGUAUUAUUAUAAUUUCUUAACAAUAAAAUAUAUUAAAAAAAAAAAAAAAGAACUGUCUUGGAUAUUUUGAAAUAUUUGGAAUAACAUAAUAAAAAAUAAGCCAUAUUGAUCUUUUUAGAUGCCUUUGACAAUUUGAGCCAGUCUUUACUGUUUUUUGAAGCAUGGAGUAAAUAAAAAUACUGUGCAGUAUUAGAAUUUUCUCAACGGGAAUGUAAAAUAAAAUCAGGAGAUUUCACAAUAGAAGAAUAUAUUUGUCAAUGGUUUUCUUAUAUACCAAUUAUCAGGUUUAAAGAAGAUAAAAUAUUUUAUGGUUUUGAACAAUGUAAGACUGAGUUUAUAAUACAAUUACAACAGGCACUAUAAAUACCACACAAAGAACAGCACACACUCUGCUAGAGAGAAGUUCCCUGAAGGUGGGCUCCAGGCCUCCAGCACGAGUCUGAAAGCUUGGAAGACAAAACCUCUGGUCCUGGUGACUGACUCAGAUUGGACCCUGCAACAUUAUCCUGGGAUAUGUAUAUUCACCUUCAUUCGUAUAACAGAAUUGUGUACUAAUGAUGAACAUGUAACUCCUAGCAGGUAUAAACUUUUGCUGAAAUAUGAGACAGAAGAAGAAG